UACAGGGGGGGCAAGCGUUGUUCGGAAUUACUGGGCGUAAAGGGUUCGUAGGUGGCCACUUAAGUCAGACGUGAAAUCCCUCAGCUCAACUGGGGAACUGCGUCUGAGACUGGCCGGCUUGAGUGCAGGAGAGGAACGCGGAAUUCCAGGUGUAGCGGUGAAAUGCGUAGAUAUCGGAAGGAACAUCAGUGGCGAAGGCGACUUCCUGGACCAAUACUGACGCUCAGGUGCGAAAGCGUGGGGAGCAAACAGG
rnacentral:rRNA from 1 species